AUCUGUAUUUGGAUAGAUUACCAGCUCGUUAUUCCACUUCCGCCUUUUCCAAUCGCACUCUCAUCUAACAUGGUAGAAAUUUUAAUGCAAAAUAAUCCAACGGAAUCUUUUACACUGAUAUCAGAUUAAUUGAUAAAUACACGUCGUUGGGACAAAACAUAAUCUAUUCUAGGCCAUUUCACUUAUAUUUCUUUUAUCCUUAUUUUUAAAGAUGCAUGAUUCCUUCCUUUUCUGAAGGUUGUGAACUGAAAUUGGAAUGUCUAUAUGUAUUCGGCUACAUUUAACAAUGUUAAUACAAUCUUGUAGGACCUUUUGAUCGAAACUGGUCUUGUCAAUGUUAUCCUAUCGUAUCAUUAUACCUUCCAACCUCAUAAAAUCUGUUUAUUUCAAGGGGUGCAUAUUACUAGUUUGAAUUCUGCAUCUCAGCCAUCUGUUCUAUUUAUAAACUACUGAUUUAUACUAAAUGGCAUAUGCGUGAAUAAAGCCUAAAAUUAGAUUAAACAUUCGAGAUGAGUAUAUAUGGUAUAUGAAAAAAGAAAUGCAGGGUCAACAUACAUGUACAUCUGUUUUCAGUUCAGAAAGCCACAUACACAAAUAUAUUUAUAUUAAUCCAUACACGUAACACAGGGUUCGACACUAACGCUAGUAAAUGUCCUUGGCGCAGUAGCCCUAGGGGCUAGUAAAUUUAUUUGUCAUUGAACAUCAAUCUGUUGUACUUUUGGCAAAGUACAGUCCAAAUGCUGGUCAUAUCUAACAGCUUCGUCGAAUAUUGUUUACACUGGUUCCACGAUCUCUUUAUUUGGUACUGGAGGGUAUAAUUUCUACCGUAAACCAGUCGCCAUAUACAGUCAACUCUGCCUAAGACUACUCGUCCCAUAAAGUAAGAAUGCACGAAGUUGCAUGAUAACCCGUUUUGAAAUAAAUAUUAAUUAGACUGCAUAUACAUUUUGGUUUUAUUGUAUUUAAUAUUUAUCACAUCAGAGCUCCAGAUAAAUCUAUGCCUGGUUUACCCUCAUCUAUUUCAUAGUCAUCGUGUAAAUAUUUGAAGUUUUAAAUGUCCUUUCGUUCUUAAAAUAGAGCAUUGAAAGGUUUUCUGUUGAAUUUUUCUGUUACUCCAAAGGUACACAGGGUGAUGUAAACUUUUCGAUCUUCUCUGUCUUUAUCGAAUCACCGUUUGUCAUGUCGUCAUAAUUCUUUUGGUAUUGCUCAGGAUUUAUCAUUACAGUAAGCAAUGGAUUGAAACGAAAGUAAAUUUCCGGUUAACAUAUUGAAUAAAAGCAUGUGUUUAGCUUCUUUUUGAGACUUGAGGGAUGAUGUUGAUAACAAGACUUAUCUAUUGGUAUCAGAAAGCGUCCAUUGCGCGUACCAGGGUGGUUGCUUGUCCUAAUGCAUUAACAAGAACAGGGUUAAAACUUGUCAUGAACCAAAUCAGUUGGAACAUAAAACAUCUUGCUGAUCAGAUCUACAUGUAGCCUUUUCAUUAAAGCAGGCUUGGACCUUUUUAUGACUGGAAGAUCCAAUAAACAUCACUAUUGUAAAAUAUGCAUUCAUGUAUGGCUUGAAAUAAGUAAUAUACUCAUUCAUUUCUUAAACACAUCUAUUUAAAACUUGUAGGCCAAAGUUAAAGCAAAGGAAUUGAGGGGUAAAAAGAAAGAUGAACUUGUGAAGCAGCUUGAUGAACUGAAAAAUGUAAGUAUGAGAAAAGUGAUGAUGUAUUACUUCAAGGCCUUUCCGGCUUAAACUUAAAAAGUACCUGUAAUAGUUGAACCAAAAACAGGUUGAAUAGUGAUUGAAGAACUUAAUUAAGUGCAUGAAAAAAUCAACCUUUCUAGGUUGUUAACAACAAAUUAUUGGCUUUGACCUAAACUUACAUACACCAAUGCAAUUAUGAUAGAUAUAUAUAAAAAAUAAGAUGUGGUAUGUUUGCCAAUGAGACGACUUUUCACAAGACACCAAAUGACACUGAAAUUAACAGCUACAGGUCACCAUAUGGCUUUCAACAUGAAUGAGCAAAGCCCAUAUAGCAUAGUCAGCUAUAAAAUCACAAAUAUUAAACAAUUCAAAAGUGAAAACUAAACCAUAAUUAAUGUACGAAAACAAAUAGUAUUUUUUUUUAUUUUACUGUGUUUCUUUCACCUGGUUUAAAAGUUGGUAGAAGAAACAUUUUUUUAUAUUCUAUUUGACAGGGUUGGAUAACAAAAUCAUGUGUUUGGCUGUCAAUUCAUAUAAUUCUCUUGAUCAUGAUAUCUUCUUUCUCAGUAUCCUGUGUCAAACCCUGCUUUAGGACAAUUUAUUUAAAAUGAGUAGAAAAAUUCUUAAUUAAAAUCAGGAUUGUACGGUUCAUCCUAACUUUCAAAUUUCUCUAUAUUUUAGGAGCUUGCUACACUUAGAGUUGCUAAAGUAACAGGUGGAGCAGCAUCAAAGUUGUCAAAGAUGUAAGUGAUAUAAGAAUAAAAAAUACAAAUUAUGUAUAAUAUGUCAAGGUUUUAGUUGUGGGAAGUCUGUAAUAUUUGAGGAUAAAUUUAUAGACUGAAACUAGCGAGGAUCUGUGUCAGACUAUCAUCAGUAGUACAUCACUGUGUGUCAGAACUAGUUACAUGUUUAAUAAGUUAACUCAAUUAACUUUAUUCUGAACUUAAU
rnacentral:lncRNA from 1 species